AGAGUUUGAUCAUGGCUCAGGAUGAAUGCUGGCGGCGUGCCUAAUACAUGCAAGUCGAGCGGUAAGGCCCUUCGGGGUACACGAGCGGCGGACGGCUGAGUAACGCGUGGGAACAUGCCCCAAAGUGAGGGAUAACGCACCGAAAGGUGUGCUAAUACCGCAUAUGGUCUUCGGAUUAAAGGAUUUAUCCGCUUUGGGAGUGGCCCGCGUACGAUUAGAUUGUUGGUGAGGUAACGGCUCACCAAGUCGACGAUCGUUAACUGGUCUGAGAGGAUGAUCAGUCAGACUGGAACUGAGACACGGUCCAGACUCCUACGGGAGGCAGCAGUAAGGAAUCUUCCACAAUGGGCGAAAGCCUGAUGGAGCAACGCCGCGUGCAGGAAGAAGGCCCUCGGGUCGUAAACUGCUUUUAUGAGUGAAGAAUAUGACGGUAACUCAUGAAUAAGCACCGGCUAACUACGUG
rnacentral:rRNA from 1 species